ACACAGCAAGAGAAACACACGUUUUUGGAACACACAUACACAAAAAAUGGCAGGGUUGUUGGAAACGUUGGGUUGUUUUUUCAACCCAACUGCUGUGUUGAGCCAGUUGAGUUAUUUUGUUGGGUUAUUUUAUCAGUGUUGGAUAGUUUUCGUGUAACCCAACUCGUUGGGUUAAAUGUUGGGUCAUUUUGAAACAGAAACUUAAUAGAUACAUAUAGCCGUUUCUCAAUAUUACUUUCUCUGGUUCACAAAAUUUAUUUCUAAAGGGGUCAUAGCGUGAAAAUUAGACUUUUUUCAUGUUUUUUUUUCAAGUGCUAUAAUUGGGUCCCCAGUGCUUCUAUCAACCUAGAAAAUAGGUUAUAAAGAUCAACCCAGUAACUUAAUUUGAGUAAGCCAUUUUCUGCAAGCAUGUGAAAAAUUAGGUUGUUCAGAUUUCGCCUGUUUUGUGAGGUAGGUAGCAAAGCGAAUUAUAAUAAUACACAGAGUAACAGCACAGAACCCCCCAUAAACUGCGUACGCUCUCAUCUUGAAUGCGGACGCGACUAAGAUGGUGACGUUAGCGGAAGCUAGUUAUUUUCGUUUAUAAAGUUUUAAAUAUGGAUAUUUCUACAACAACACAGCGCGUAUUACCCUCAGAAGGCAUUUGUUUAUCAUCGUGGAGCCGUUUGGAUUUCGUUUGUGAAGGAUGCACAUUUUUUGGACUUUUUGAUUCUGGACAUUUGAUUAACUGAAAGAUCUAAAACAUUUUCUAAAAUAACUGAAAAUGUGUUUGUCUGAAAAAUGAUGGACAUAUGCAUCUUGGUUGGCUUGGGGGUGAGUAAAUCAUGGGUUUAUUAUCAUUUUUGUCCAAACUAUACAUUUAACUGUAUAAAAUUGUCAAGUGCAUCUUAUCGGUAAAGUGUGAUUAAUAGUAAAUUGCUUUCAGAUGAAGCACCAUUUACUACAUGCGGCUAUAGUACACUGACAAGCUAGGCCAUAUAGCGUUAAUUAUCACAUGAAUUAACAUUGAAGUUUUAUUAAAAAUGAUUGCAUGAUUUGUCAUUUUCAGAUUUCACAAGACUUCUCUGUGUUAUUCCCUGACCAUGCCGAAAAGCUAUUUGAAACUUGGGCAUUGGAUUUUACAGACAGAAUCCUGCAACUUCCCAGCCAUGAACCAGGAACAUCAACAAAUCACUUCCAGAACCCCAUGAUGAUAUUCCAACUCCUGUCUACAAAAGUGGGAAGAAAAUCUUAAGUCUACAUGUUGGGACCAACAUGGUUGCAUUCUUGUGAGAGGCUGAGGAGACAAACCGUUCCCUUUUGUCUUUUUGUCUUGGGCGAUCUGUGCCAUUAAGUCUUUGUUGUUUUUGACAGACAGUCACUCCAGCAAUACACCCUCCUUGGUGCUGUUGACAUGUUUUUAACUUUUUUAAUGUUUUGGAAAUACAUUUUCCCAAGCAGUGCGCACCAGUGUGGGUGUUUUUGCAUACUGUUAUUUACAAACUUCCAAGAACGUAAUCCCCUUCAUUACACAUUAUACUAUUCAGACAUUUAGGGCAAAUAAUUUACCCAUUUAUUUGUUAUAUGAUAUAAAAACACAGCAUACAAAACAGUCACAACCUUUUUCAAAAAAAUACUUAAAAUAUUCAGCCAAACGAUCGAUUUAUAUGAAGUAAAGAUGCUAUAGUGAUCACAAUCCGCUGUAAAUAUCAGAUCCGGUGUACACUCGUAUUGUGAAAUACUAAUAGCAUUGGUCUCAUGUGUCUUGUGACCGGUUGCAUCAUUACGGUAGCUAUAGAAUGUGAUGUGCUAUCUGCAUUUUCUGGAUCAUAUUUGGUUCGUAUUGAUAAAGUGGUAAAGACGAUAUUAACUGUCAGUAUUGCAUUGUGAGCGAAUCUUUCAAACAUGGUACGGAGAGCCACAUUUCCGGCUGACGUCAGAGGUAUUCAGGCCAAUCACAACGUACAGAUUAGCUGGCCAAUCAGAGAGACAACGUUUUUCAGCUCAUUGUCUAUCUCACUAUCUUGACGUUGUAAUAAGGUGCUGGCAAAAACGAAUGAUUGGGUUGUUAUUUUUGGAGAACAGUCUCGACAGAACACUAUUAGGUUAACAAUGUUAUGAAUUAUAACCCAUGGUUGGGUAACAACAACCCACCAUUGGGUAAUUUUUAACCCACUGGUGUGUUUUGUCCAAUAUUUACUCAAUAUGGGUUAAAAACAACCCAGCCAUUUUUAGAACACAAUAUACAGUAGUGCAGGACACAGUAGGCUACAUAUUAUAAAGAAAAUGAGACCUGAGCCAUAAAGGAAAUGACCAAUAUCUUGGUCCCAAACCUUUUCUAGGCUUAUGAAUCAUUUUACAGUAGAUACAUCUGGAUAAUGGCUAAGGUCUGUGUGUUUUGCAAUUAAUGU